CCUACGGGAGGCAGCAGUAGGGAAUCUUCGGCAAUGGGGGCAACCCUGACCGAGCAACGCCGCGUGAGUGAAGAAGGUUUUCGGAUCGUAAAGCUCUGUUGUAAGAGAAGAACGUGUGUGAGAGUGGAAAGUUCACACAGUGACGGUAACUUACCAGAAAGGGACGGCUAACUACGUGCCAGCAGCCGCGGUAAUACGUAGGUCCCGAGCGUUGUCCGGAUUUAUUGGGCGUAAAGCGAGCGCAGGCGGUUUGAUAAGUCUGAAGUUAAAGGCAGUGGCUUAACCAUUGUUCGCUUUGGAAACUGUUAGACUUGAGUGCAGAAGGGGAGAGUGGAAUUCCAUGUGUAGCGGUGAAAUGCGUAGAUAUAUGGAGGAACACCGGUGGCGAAAGCGGCUCUCUGGUCUGUAACUGACGCUGAGGCUCGAAAGCGUGGGGAGCAAACAGGAUUAGAUACCCCUGUAGUC
rnacentral:rRNA from 1 species